CAGUCGCCGCGGGAAUACGGAGGGUGCAAGCGUUAAUCGGAAUUACUGGGCGUAAAGCGCACGCAGGCGGUCUGACAAGUCAGAUGUGAAAUCCCCGGGCUUAACCUGGGAACUGCAUUUGAAACUGUCAGGCUGGAGUCUUGUAGAGGGGGGUAGAAUUCCAGGUGUAGCGGUGAAAUGCGUAGAGAUCUGGAGGAAUACCGGUGGCGAAGGCGGCCCCCUGGACAAAGACUGACGCUCAGGUGCGAAAGCGUGGGGAGCAAACAGGAUUAGAUACCCCAGUAGUCCCUGUCUCUUAUCC
rnacentral:rRNA from 1 species